GACGAACGCUGGCGGCGUGCCUAACACAUGCAAGUCGAGCGGACGGUCAUGAGGUUGUAGAGAUACAAAGGAGUGACUGUUAGCGGCGAACGGGUGAGUAACACGUGGACAAUCUGCCCUCCGGGUCGGGAUAACAGACCGAAAGGCCUGCUAAUACCGAAUGAGGCGGCGACCCUGCAUGGGGAUGCCGUCAAAGGGGGAAACCCGCCGGAGGAGGAGUCCGCGUCCCAUUAGCUAGUUGGUGAUGUAACGGACCACCAAGGCGAUGAUGGGUAGCCGGCCUGAGAGGGUGAACGGCCACAUUGGGACUGAGACACGGCCCAGACACCUACGGGUGGCUG
rnacentral:rRNA from 1 species